GCAAGUCGAGCGCUACCUUCGGGUGUAGCGGCGGACGGGUUAGUAACGCGUGGGAACGUACCCAGAUCUAAGGAAUAGCCACUGGAAACGGUGAGUAAUACCUUAUACGCCCUUCGGGGGAAAGAUUUAUCGGAGAAGGAUCGGCCCGCGUUAGAUUAGAUAGUUGGUGGGGUAACGGCCUACCAAGUCUACGAUCUGUAGCUGGUUUUAGAGGAUGAUC
rnacentral:rRNA from 1 species